AGAAUCAACGCUGGCGGCGUGCCUAACACAUGCAAGUCGAACGAGAAAGUGGAGCAAUCCACAAGUAAAGUGGCGCACGGGUGAGUAACACGUGACUAACCUACCCUUGAGUGGGGGAUAACCUAGAGAAAUCUGGGCUAAUACCGCAUAAUACCUUCGGGUCAAAGGAGCAAUUCGCUUAAGGAGGGGGUCGCGGCCGAUUAGUUAGUUGGCGGGGUAAUGGCCCACCAAGACUAUGAUCGGUAUCCGGCCUGAGAGGGCGCGACGGACGACGACUGGAACUGAAACACGGUCCAGACUCCUACGGGAGGCAGCAGUGGGGAAUUUGCGCAAUGGGGGAAACCCUGACGCAGCAACGCCGCGUGGAGGAUGAAAUCCCUUGGGAUGUAAACUCCUUUCGAUAGGGAAGAUAAUGACGGUACCUAUAGAAGAAGCCCCGGCUAACUUCGUGCCAGCAGCCGC
rnacentral:rRNA from 1 species